rnacentral:rRNA from 1 species
AUGGCCCGCACCGGCGGGGGACUGUCCCGCGGGCCGCUGCUCGACCGGUCGUCCCUGCUCGUCCCGCGGUCGCCGCCGCGGUACAGCUCGUUGCUGGACGCCGAGUUCGAUAGGUUCACGCCAGAGACCAUGAUCAACCCCCUCCUGGCCGCGGCCAUGGAGCGGCGCGUGUACCGCAUCGACGAGGCCGACCUCGCCGGGCUCCAGAAGGCGGCGUCCCCGGGGGGCGGCCGCCGCACCUCGCGCUUCGUGGCGCUGUGCGCGCACGUCUGGAAGCUCCUGGCGCGGGCCGUCGGCGACUCCGAACCCAACUGUCGCAUGGCGUGGAUCCUCGAAGGCCGGAGGUGCAUCGAGCCGUCGGAGGGCGCGCUGGACAUGUACAUGGGGAACGUGGUCACCUACACAUCCCGCGAGGCGAGCGUGGCGGCCGCCGCGGGCGCGGCCAUGGCGUCCGUGAUGAGCAGGGACAGGCUCCAGGAGCUGGUGGACUGGGUGGAGGUGAACAAAACGGCGUACAAGGACGGCGGGAAAUGGACGGAGGCGGUGAACCUCGGCCUGGGCAGCCCGGCGCUGGUGAUCUCCGGGAUGCUCCCGUUCGCCAUCGACGGGGACCUGGGGUUCCGGAAGCCGAGGAUGGUGUCGCCGUGGCUGCGGCACGGUCGGCUGGGCUCGGCGUCGAUGAUGGCGGUGCCCUGCCCGAGCGGGGACGGGUCGUGGUUCAUGGGCGGCACGAGGCUGUGGCCGCGGCUGGUGGAGGUGAUCGAGGCCGGCCCGGAGAGCCUGCUGAAGCCGCUGACGGCGGUGAGCCUGGGGUUCGAGGCGCCGCACGGUUCUCGUCUGUGA